rnacentral:rRNA from 1 species
UUAAAGUUCCAACGGUGAAAGAUGAGCAUGCGUCCCAUUAGCUAGAUGGUAAGUAACGGCUUACCAUGGCUACGAUGGUAGGGGUCCUGAGACGGAGAUCCCCCACACUGGUACUGAGACACGGACCCAGACUCCUACGGGAGGCAGCAGUGAGGAAUAUUGGUCAAUGGACGCAAGUCUGAACCAGCCAUGCCGCGUGCAGGAUGACGGUCCUAUGGAUUGUAAACUGCUUUUGUACGAGAAGAAACAACAUUACGUGUAAUGUCUUGACGGUAUCGUAAGAAUAAGGAUCGGCUAACUCCGUG